rnacentral:rRNA from 1 species
GACAGAGGUGCCGAGCGUUAGGCGGAAUCACUGGGCUUAAAGCGUGUGUAGGCGGGUGCCUAAGUACCUUGUGAAAUCCCACGGCUCAACCGUGGAACUGCUUGGUAUACUGGGUAUCUUGAGCCACUUAGGGGCAACCGGAACAAACGGUGGAGCGGUGAAAUGCGUAGAUAUCGUCUGGAACGCCGAAGGUGAAAACAGCUCGCUGGGGCUGCGCUGACGCUGAGACACGAAAGCCAGGGGAGCGAACGGG